ACAAAGGUCCUUUUAAGGGCCACCCACCUUUGCCUUUAAGAGCUUU
rnacentral:ncRNA from 1 species